rnacentral:rRNA from 1 species
GAUGAACGCUGGCGGCGUGCUUAACACAUGCAAGUCGAACGAUGAAGCCCAGCUUGCCGGGUGGAUUAGUGGCGAACGGGUGAGUAACACGUGAGUAACCUGCCCUUAACUCUGGGAUAAGCCUGGGAAACUGGGUCUAAUACCGGAUAGGAGCGUCCACCGCAUGGUGGGUGUUGGAAAGAUUUAUCGGUUUUGGAUGGACUCGCGGCCUAUCAGCUUGUUGGUGAGGUAAUGGCUCACCAAGGCGACGACGGGUAGCCGGCCUGAGAGGGUGGCCGGCCACACUGGGACUGAGACACGGCCCAGACUCCUACGGGAGGCAGCAGUGGGGAAUAUUGCACAAUGGGCGCAAGCCUGAUGCAGCGACGCCGCGUGAGGGAUGACGGCCUUCGGGUUGUAAACCUCUUUCAGUAGGGAAGAAGCGAAAGUGACGGUACCUGCAGAAGAAGCACCGGCUAACUACGUG